rnacentral:rRNA from 1 species
AUUUCUAAGGUGUAACCUGCCCAAUGGUUUUGAAGUAAAAACAUGUAAAAAAUGUUAAACAAGACUUAAAGGACGCAGUAACCUUGACUGUGAUAAUGUAGCAUAAUCACUCGCCAUUUAAUUGAUGGAUAGUAUGAAUGGUUGAACGAAUAUUCCACUGUCUUAAGAAGAAAUAAACAAAAAUUAAAAUAAUAGUUAAGAUGCUAUUUUAAACUGUAAGACGAAAAGACCCUAUAGAGCUUAACUAUAGUCUCCUCGAAAUAAAAGAAAAGAAAAUUCCUAAAAGAGGAGAUUGGUAGUUUAGUUGGGGCGACUAUCUUCUAAAAUCAACGAAGACAAGCAAAGUUAAUAGAAAACUUAUUGUAUAAUUAAUCAAUUUAACAAUUACAAAAGUAGGCUAUAAUGACCCGUUGAAAAUUUAUAGAAAUUUCAACGAUCAAUAAAUAAAAGCUACCUUAGGGAUAACAGGAUAAUUUCAUUCUAGAGAUCUCAUCGAAAAUGAAGUUUGUCACCUCUAUGUUGAAUUAAGAUAUCCUGGCAAUGCAGCAGUUGCCAAUGGUAGGUCUGUUCGACCUUUAAAAUCUU